rnacentral:rRNA from 1 species
CCCUUAGAUGUUCUGGGCCGCACGCGCGCUACACUGAUGCAUUCAACGAGUCUAAAACCUGCUCUGAUAGGGGUGGGUAAUCUUUUGAAUGUGCAUCGUGAUUGGGAUAGAUGAUUGAAAUUUUUCAUCUUCAACGAGGAAUGCCUAGUAAACGCAAGUCAUCAGCUUGCAUUGAUUACGUCCCUGCCCUUUGUACACACCGCCCGUCGCUCCUACCGAUUGAAUGCUCAGGUGAGCCAUUCGGACUUUCAUCAUGCUGGUUUCCAGUUUUGAUGAAGGAAAGUCUUGCGAACCUUAUCAUUUAGAGGAAGGAGAAGUCGUAACA